GAAACUGAGUAAAUAGAGGCUCUGUCAUUUAUGAGGACUUUACAGGAAGUAUUCAUCAAUCUCACUUCUCCUUUUGCAGGCACUGUUCUUCCCCAAGGAGUCCAUUGCUUUAAGUUCAGGUUUAAAAUUCCACAGGGGGAUAUGCCAUCAUCCUUCAAGGGGAUUCAUGGAAAGAUUGUCUACAUGCUUGAAGCCAAGGUGUCCAGGGGCUGGCUGAGGUGUUCUCGACUACAAACAGAGCUCAAUUUUGUUUCAAAGUCCCUUUCACACCUUGGCCAAGUAAUGGUAAAUGGGACACUACAAUAUGAUACAUGUUAUGAAUUUGAUACACUAUUUCCACUUUCCAAAUGAACUUCAAUAUUUUAUGAUUUGUGCAGCACUUACUGGCUGUUAAAAAAAAAAAAAACAUUUGGCUACAACUAAAAGAAUGGAAUAGAGGAGUUGAGGGAAAGAAAACAAUAAAGAGUUACAGUAAGUGUUUUUUCAUGACGUCUGUCAUGGAGAAAAUGCUAACAUUACAGCAGUGUACUAUAUCAUGGAAGAAGCAGGCAACAGGACCUUUUGUAAUCAGAGUCUCUAUGAUGUGAUCACGUGUAAUAUGUUGAGCAAACACGCAAACCACAAACCAGUUUGAAUAAACAAUAAAUGGGUCGAUUUGCUGUAGUUCUUCCAGUGUGAAGUAAUUGGUAGUUUCCAAAGCAAUGCUUUCAAAGUAGCUUCCCCAACACUGAAUGUGAAAAUAAGAUAAGAUAGACUUGUAAUUGUCCUGAAGGAAAUUUGUCUCGGACAAACUCACUGGUAUCUCUUUAUCUAUAAGGCUUGAAUUGGAAAACUGCCAUCUUACCUACAGAACUUCUCUGUUACUCAGAGGGACAUUAGCAGACUUGCUCCGCUAACUGGCAUUUACUUCAUGUUCCACAAGCUCCGUCUGAACUUAGAAACACUGCUUUUAUUUUUAGUGCACCUGACUCCUGGAACAAAUUACAACACUUUCUUAAAAUCAACUCAAUUGUGCCUCUUGGACAGUCUGGUUUAAAACCUUCAAACUUAUUCUUGUAACUGCUUUACAGAAUUGUAUUUUCUUUUGCAUCCCUAUUAUCCUAAUGUAUUUAUUAAAUCAUUUUCCAAUUCUGUCUUUCUGUAUUUCUUAUGAUUGUAUUUUCUGUGUUAUGUCUUUGUGAUCUGACUGAAUUUCACGUGCCUUGUUCAGCUCGAGUGCCUAGACUGAUCAUUUAUUCAGUGUUUGUUAGUUUAUACCUGCCCUCUCUACCUCACUCUUUUGCUUGGAGACUAGUUAAAAGAAAAUAGACAACAUGUGACUAUUUUUUUUAUUAAAGUCAACUAAGAGGGCAAUUAUACAUUUAUUUUUAUUUUUACCAGUAACACCAGACAACUACUUCUAUUUAAUUACACAGUACUUUGCAAAUCUGAUUUGUUAUACUCAUAAACUGCCAGUGUUUUCUCUGAUUUGUAAAUUUAAAUAAAGAACUGUC